AUAAAGGCAAUGACCGUGUAAGUAGUGAGCCAUUUUCCGCUAGAGAGAGGGAAUCGACAGGCUGAAAGUUCCCUUGGGUUCAGAUGGUGAAUGAAUUUCCCGCGCGAGCUGUGUUCUUGAAAUAAAAGUAGAGAAUGCCGUAUGAUGCACGUUACGCAGUAAUGAGUGUCCGCAAAAAUAUUUUGCGGGAAUCAGGGUGGUACCACGGGUUAUAUGUCUCGUCCCUUUU
rnacentral:ncRNA from 1 species